AAAUCAGCCAAUAUCACAAAUUAUGUCAAUACGGUUAUCGUUUACCGCGACUGGCGUAGCAGCAUUUACCACAGCUAUUCUUCCUGUGAUGCUCAAUUCUUCAAUGUAUUAAAGACCUCCUAGAGGCUGGCUGUACCAAGUCAUCCCAUGACUCCCUGCAGAGGUUUAAGUCGCGUGGCUCAGUGUCAAGUUAAGCUGAAUGAGAAAUCUGAAAGGAAGAGAGAAGAAUGUUGUCCCCCCCCCAAACAACCCUGGCCAAAUACUACUGCAAUGUUUGACAACGACUUCAUGAACAGUAUGUAGUGUGUUACGAAUAAAAUGUUAUGCAGAGCUGAUGUGCAUGCAACAUGUUUGAGUUACACAUUAAAGCCAUGGUAUGUUAAAGAAAAAUCAAGGGAACCGAAAUUACUUAACUUGCACCCAUGACACUGAAGUGAUGCAGUAAUUGCGAGACAAGCUUGCAGCUCUUGAUCUUAAUGUGACUGGAUUCUCAGUGUUCCAUCACAGGUUAGGCCAUCCCAGAGGACAAAUUAAGACAAUUUUUAGGCAAUUUGACCUGAGAAACCAAAGGGAAAAGAAAAAAGGCACACACAAACACAAAGAGAGCGGGGCUUCUGCGAAGGACGUCGGGGGGAGGGGGUUCGGAUUUAAGCUCAAGCGCACAAGGGGUUGGUAUGUCAUUCAGGGGCCACACUCAUAUUUGCCGACAGCGUCCACAGAUGGCUUUGCAUUCAGAGGCAGGCGAGAUCGGAGCGGACAGACGACGAGAAUGAUCUGAAACAAAGAGUGAUCUACACAACACCCACCACACAAUACUCAAAGAUUCGAGUUCUACUCAUCUUAUGGUUUUUAAGAUGCAAAGCAAUAGGGCCCCGUGGCCAAAGAGGAAUAUGCUAGUAAAGCAUUGUUGUUACUGAUGAUUUGAGGUUAACAUAAAGCCAGUUCCAAGAUGUCAUUUUGUCAACUACAACAUUGCAGAAGUUUCAUUUUGACAAGUUAAGCCAACAUCUUACUACAUGCUCCGGGUUAGAGGACUUCACGCGUGCUCGAACCAGUCUUGCACUUGAUUUCUGUGAAGAGAAGCGUAGGGAUACACCCAACCAAAACCAAUGCACAAUAUAAAACUACAGCAACACAUUUGCGCUGCAUUUCAGGUCAAAUUAAAGCUGCACAAUGCACAGCUUUCCUCAGCUGCUUACAUUUUGAAAAAGUCGCACAGUUGCGCGAUUGCGAGUAAUUAUAUAUGAUCAACCUGCCGCUUGCACAGUUGCGCAAGGGCGAGCAGCUGAGGGCUAAUUGUUCCAAUCUAUACACAAAAAGCAACCUGACUCCCGUUUGUUCAAGCGUGCUGGUUGAUUUCAAAGUGCAGGAUGAUUCCUGUGUUGUCCUAGGUGGACUGCAUUCUUCCUUUGGACUGUUCUGUAAGAUCAAAGAGGCAGACAAUAGACACCCCUAUGCCCCCCCUCACAGUAUCGUAGAACUGACUAUUGUUAUCCUUACCCAAAUGCUUUACUGCAGAUAACGUCAGAAUCAAUGAGGGCACAUCAAAUCUUCCCGUUAUCACAAGACUCUUGUUAAGAAAGCACAACAGUGCUAUUUCUACAGUCAAGUAUAGCAAGUUGCUUUCACUUCAAGAACAAAUGAGGGCAGUUGAGCCCAGUCAAGAUAAGUGACCCCUCUAGGGUUGAGAAUGUUCUGCUUUCCAACAUCAACAUCUGAUGGAUUCAACUUAUCUGCCUUCAAUUUCCACUUUGAAAAGGAUGUCAUUCGAGCCCAGGUCACAUCCGUGCUCUACAAUGCUCCAAGCUUUAGUCAUACCUGAAAAAGCACAAGAAAAGCUCCCCCACACAAGCCCCCAAAAAGAACAAAUGCAUACCAAAACUGUAUUCAAUCACAACAAGCUAUGCAUUUAUUAUGCAAUAAGAAUCCUUUACAGAUAGUUCACUCAUUGUAUUAUCAAUACAAGGCAUUGUAACUAAUUGCAAAGGAAUUGCAAUGGAGGUAUUUAGCCAGACAAUGAAUGUUAAAGAGAAAUGUGAACACAUUUAGUGACCUUACGUGUGAUGCUCGAUGCGCAAGGAAACUUGUACAAACAAUGAGUUAGGGGAGUUCCUGAUGGUCUCGGGGAUUGGAAAGCGCACAGGACACAGCACACUGAAAAAUGCAAAGGAAAAAGCCUCUCUCCCCACAAUACCCCUCCAAUGAUGCAGUACAGAACUACAAGACAAUCACUAGCAUUACUCCCUUAAUAAGGACACAACUGUACGACUAUGAAUAUUCAUAAAAAGAUGAGCAAUUUUCCAUAAGAACAUUUAAAUACCGCAGGCCUGAACGCGAGGGAUUCCUUCCUUACGAACUGUAGACGUGGACUUGAAUGGAGAUAUUUGAAGGGCGGGCCAUACAACUUAAUCUGCAAGAGUCACAAAUAAACAAGCCCCUCCCAACCCCACAAAGCAACUUGAAGCCUGUACAGAAUUACAAUGACUUCUAGUAAAGAGACUUGUUACCGCACUCCCUGGGAAAACAGAGCUUCUUGCUACACCAGGAGACUAGUUUUGAAGUUGCUAUCCUGCGAGGCAAAGAGUCCGCUUGAAUCUUGUUGGGUGCACCUGGAUGUUUCCUAGUGAAGCCAUUUUGCGUUGGGUAAGAUGGAGCUGUGAAGUCUAGGGAAGAGACUGAUUAACGGCCCACAACCCCCCACCCUCCCAUUACCAAAUGUUGUGCAUGAAACCCAAUUUACAACACCUUCCAAAUAUUGUAGAAUCAAAAUUAAUCUAAUGGAUUUUAUUAAACAAUACCAAAUACCUUCCUACAUCUCUUUGAAACCGCUUUGGGUGUGAAUGAUCCCGAUCCAUAGAACUAUAGUAAAUAAGAUGAGCUCAACCUGUACCGAGCGGCUAGCGCAGGGGGAUUCUUUCGAUGAUCAGCUUUAGGGGGGUCAGGCCUGUGAAAAGAAGAACUCGAAACACGUUUUAAAUACCCCCUCCCCCUAACCCUCAAAGAAAACUUAAUCAGGAUCAACUAUUUCAAUACAUAUUUUUUUGUUUUGAUAGCAAAAAUACUUGACAGCAUAGGCAAUGAUGAGUUAAUGUACAGGAUAGUUACACCCACAUGUACAUUUCAUGCAUUAACUCACUGCUCAGGUUAAGAGGUAGAUGUAGCUGAUCUGUACCAAUGAUGCGCAGCUGAAGCACUGAAGGGUCGCUGAAUACACACAUCAAUCGGCCGCACGGAAGACCAUCCACUCUCACACUCCAAUGCCGACAGCUUCCUUGGGGUAGACCUAUCGAACACCAACAACAAAAGGACUGCCUCUCCCUCCGGCCGGGGGGAACUACUUGUGGUCGCAGGGGGUAGAGAAGUCCGAUAAGGAUGUUCCAUCUCUCCAGCACACUACCAAGGCAUUCACCACAGCAGACACCACCACACUCAAGUCAGCGCACAACAGGAGGGGUGACCACGGUACAAAACGCUUUACACGGCUUGCCUGUAAAGAGGAAGAGAGAGCUGUGCGAGUAAUUGUGUUCUACAACAAUUGUUUCUGGAAUGUGGAAAAUCUAAAUGCCUGAGUGUUACAGAGAUACCUCUACCCAAUAUACAAACCAAAGCCUUGCUUUAAACUUGUGAAGCUAGAAGACACUUGUUCGCCCUUUACCACCCUCUCAUCACUGGCUGGCUUGCUCGCUCUGGAACUGCUGCAACUGCUUCAGCGAUGGCCACUCUGCUGCUGCUGCUACCCUGCACUGCGCCUUUGGCUCCCUCUGGUGUACACUCGCCGACAGCUGCUGCCUGCUCUCUCGGGCCCCCUCUGCUCUCCCCUCCACGCCCUCUGGUCCUGUCCUGCCUGGAGCAACUCUGGUCCUCACGCCCUCUGGUCCUGUCCUGCCUGGCUCCACACUCUGGUCCUCCCCGUGUCCCAUGGUCUCGCGCCGCGCUGGUCCUGGUGUUCCUCUAAUAACUAAGUCCAUUCCUCCCCUCGAUAACUCAGUCCUGUGGUUUUCCUCUAAUAACUAAGUCCAUUCCUUCCCUCGAUAACUCAGUCCAUUUCCCCCCUGAAAAAAAAAUCUUCUGUCUUGGAUUCCUUGGAAGCUGCUUUACAACUAGAUUUCCUGUGUUGUUUCUUUGAUCAAAGAAAUACAAUCACCAACAAAAUUACCAACAAUUUUUUUAAAAAAAAAAAAGAAAUAACCACUCUGGGCCAAUCUUUGCAAGCUUGCCAUUUUUUUUUUUUUUUUUUUUUUUUUAAGAUAUAACCACUCCGGGCCAUCUUUGCAAGUUUUUUUUUUUUUUUAAAGAAAUGACCACUCUGGGCCAUCUUGGCAAGUUUUCUUUUUCUUUUUUUUUUUUUUAAUAAAUGACCACUCUGGGCCAUCUUGGCAAGUUUUCUUUUUUUUUUUUUUUUUUUUAAGAAAUGACCACUCUGGGCCAUUUUUGCAAGCUUGCUUUUUUUUUUUUUUAAAAAGAAAUAACCACUCUGGGUCAAUCUUUGCAAAUUGAAGUUUGCUUCUUUUCUUUUUUUUAAGAAAUAACCACUCUGGGUCAAUUUUUGCAAGUUGAAGUUUGCUUUUUUUUAUGAAUAAUGAAAUUACUUGAAUAACUGCUCUCUGGGAUUUCUGCAGGUUGAAGUUUGCUUUUUUUUUUUUAAAUUAAGAAAUAACCACUCUGGGCCAAUCUUUGCUUUUUUUUUUUUUUUUUAAAUAAAUAAAUAACUUGAAUAACCCCUUUCUGUGAUCUUUGCAGGUCGAAGUCUGCUUUUUUGUUAUUAAAUAACCGCUCCCUGGGAUCUUUGCAGGUUGAAGUCUCCUUUUUUUUUUUUUUUUUUUAAAGAAAUAACCACUCUGGGCCAAUCUUUGCUUUUUUUUUUUUUUAAAUAAAGAAAUAACUUGAAUAACCCCUUUCUGUGAUCUUUGCAGGUCGAAGUCUGCUUCUUUUUUUUUUAAAUAACCACUCCCUGGGAUCUUUGCAGGUUGAAGUCUGCUUUUUUUUUUUUUUUUUUAAAUAAAUAACCGCUCUCUGGGAUCUUUGCAGGUUGAAGUCUGCUUUUUUUUUUUUUUUUUAAAUAAAUAACCGCUCUCUGGGAUCUUUGCAGGUUGAAGUCUGCUUCUUUUUUUUUUUAAAUAACCACUCCCUGGGAUCUUUGCAGGUUGAAGUCUGCUUUUUUUUUUUUUUUUUUAAAUAAAUAACCACUCUCUGGGAUCUUUGCAGGUUGAAGUCUGCUUUUUUUUUUUUUUUUUAAAUAAAUAACCGCUCUCUGGGAUCUUUGCAGGUUGAAGUCUGCUUUUUUUUUUUUUUUUAAAUAAAUAACCGCUCUCUGGGAUCUUUGCAGGUUGAAGUAGCAUUCUUGCCUUUCUAUUCUGAAAUAUUGCUUUAUGACAAAGUCAGUUGACUCAUGUCUAAACCUCAUCGGCUUCUCAUUCAAUACGCACUUCAUACAGGGCUAUUUUGUUAUUUGUCAAAAGCAAACAAAACAAAAACACAUCUGGUAUCUCGAUGAGAUUGCUAGCCUAGCCGCUGGUCAAAUCCUGACCACGCCCUUUUACAUUUGUAUUGGUGCGUCACGAGUUAUUCAAAAAUCAACCAAUAGGCGACAGUUGGAGGCUGCUACGUCACGGCUCCCAUCUUGAGCCAACUGCCGUUAAAGAAUUUAGAAUCACGGAGCUGGAUUUGAAUCAUUUUAAAAAUAUGAACGUUUAAAACUUACUGGUUCAGGUUACGUCACAGUAAACAUCUGGUUAACAAGACCAACGUCAUGACGUUGUCAUUAAAGUAGGAGCCUAUAUUUGACUGGCCUGGCCUGCCGUUAGCUAGUAACGACUGUAAAAAUACGCAGCAUAUGUCUCGUAUAAAGGCAGUUUUUCAUUGAAAGGUGCUCGCUGAUGCGUAUUAAAUAAACAGAAAGCUUGAUAACAAAAAGUUUUGCGUAAAAA